UACGUAGGGGGCAAGCGUUGUCCGGAAUUAUUGGGCGUAAAGCGCGUGUAGGCGGCUCGGUAAGUCUGCUGUGAAAGUCCAAGGCUCAACCUUGGAAAGCCGGUGGAUACUGUCGAGCUCGAGUCCGGAAGAGGCGAGUGGAAUUCCUGGUGUAGCGGUGAAAUGCGCAGAUAUCAGGAGGAACACCAAUGGCGAAGGCAGCUCGCUGGGACGGUACUGACGCUGAGAAGCGAAAGCAUGGGGAGCGAACAG
rnacentral:rRNA from 1 species